ensembl:lncRNA
UUAAACUGCAUUCUCUGUAUUGUAACAAAACUAACAUUGUUUAUAUGUCAGAAAAUUAGCAAACAUGAAUAAAUGGCGAAAACAAUAUAAUUAUAACAUAUAUUUUUAUUUUACUUAUUUUAGGUCUGUGAACCCAAACUUGAUGCUGGGGAUUUAUUUUUGUCAGUGGAGUCAAAUGGUUGAAGCAGAAUUUGCCUGUCUUACAUCUGUUGACCUGAAAGGGUUCCUUUUUGCUGUGCUUGACCAUUAUGGAGAGGUUCGUGGAGCUGUACAAAAUCAAGAGCGGCAUAGGAGGGCUAACUAGGCUCAUAAAAUGCUUCGGAGAUGAUAGCCCUACACAAAGGAAGAGGACAGAGGACCUCAUUUUCUAAAGGAAGAGCCCUCACACACUUUCAAGACUGUGAAGCCGACAGGUAUUGAAGACACGUUUUCUAAGAGGAUGAAAGUUG